rnacentral:rRNA from 1 species
GGCGGAUGCCUUGGCUCUCGGAGGCGAUGAAGGACGUGAUAAGCUGCGAUAAGCUUCGGGUAGGUGCAAAUAACCUUUGAUCCGAAGAUUUCCGAAUGGGACAACCCGGCAUUCUGAAGGAAUGUCAUCCAACUUGGUUGGAGGCUAACGCAGGGAACUGAAACAUCUUAGUACCUGCAGGAAAAGAAAAUAAAUAAUGAUUCCCCUAGUAGUGGCGAGCGAACGGGGAUUAGCCCAAACCACCCAUGUUACGGCAUGUGUGGGGUUGUAGGACCACGCUCUCGCAAGACAGUUAUUGAGAAGAAACGACUGGAAAGUCGUGCCAUAGACGGUGAUAGCCCGGUAUUCUAAGGUAACCGAAGCGUAGUGGUAUCCUGAGUAGCGCGGAGCACGAGGAAUUCUGCGUGAAUCAGCCGGGACCAUCCGGUAAGGCUAAAUACUCCCGAGAGACCGAUAGCGAACCAGUACUGUGAAGGAAAGGUGAAAAGCACUUCGAAUAGAAGAGUGAAAUAGUCCCUGAAACCAUGCGCCUACAAGCGGUCGGAGCAGCUUAAGUUGUGACGGCGUGCCUUUUGCAUAAUGAACCUACGAGUUACUUUUUCCGGCAAGGUUAAGCAUCUUGAGAUGUGGAUCCGAAGCGAAAGCGAGUCUGAACAGGGCGGAUAGUCGGAAGGAGUAGACGCGAAACCAAGUGAUCUACCCUUGGGCAGGUUGAAGGUUAGGUAACACUAACUGGAGGACCGAACCGAUAAGCGUUGAAAAGCUUCCGGAUGACCUGAGGGUGGGGGUGAAAGGCUAAUCAAACUUGGAGAUAGCUCGUACUCCCCGAAAUGCAUUUAGGUGCAGCCUUGAGAGUUACUAAUGUGAGGUAGAGCGACUGAUAAGAUGCGAGGGCUUCACCGCCUAUCAAGUCUUGAUAAACUCCGAAUGCGCAUUAGUUCUAUCUCAGGAGUGAGGGCAUGGGUGCUAAGGUCCAUGUCCUAAAGGAGAAGAAUCCAGACCAUCAGCUAAGGUCCCCAAAUAAACACUAAGUUGAACUAACGAAGUCAGAUUGCUAAGACAGCUAGGAUGUUGGCUUGGAAGCAGCCAUUCAUUUAAAGAGUGCGUAACAGCUCACUAGUCGAGGAGUUUGGCGUGGAUAAUAAUCGGGCAUAAGUGUUUUACCGAAGCUAUGGGAUCCUAACGGAUCGGUAGGGGAGCAUUCCACUCAGCGUUGAAGGCGAAGCGUGAGCUUUACUGGAGCGUGUGGAAAAGCAAAUGUAGGUAUAAGUAACGAUAAAGGGGGUGAGAAACCCCCUCGCCGCAAGACUAAGGUUUCCUGAUCAACGCUAAUCGGAUCAGGGUUAGUCGGGUCCUAAGGCUCAGCCGAACGGUGAGGCCGAUGGCAGAACAGGUUAAUAUUCCUGUACUACCUUAAGGAGUGACGUGGAGACGGAGGAGUGACAGCGCCGCGGACUGACGGAAUAGUCCGUUAAAGGGUGUAGAUGUUGAUUAUCCCAGGCAAAUCCGGGAUAAGAGUCGAACCUGACAGUAUACCAAUUUCCCCGGAAAACGGUAAUAGUGCGUGUAAACAUACUCCCAAGAAAAUCCGCUAAACUUAAUCUUACAGGUACCCGUACCGUAAACGGACACACGUAGUCGGGUUGAAUAUACUCAGGCGCUUGAGUGAAUCACGGUUAAGGAACUAGGCAAAUUGACCCUGUAACUUCGGGAUAAAGGGUCCCUGCAGAGAUGUGGGGCGCAGAGAAUAGGUCCAGGCAACUGUUUAACAAAAACACAUGGCUGUGCGAAAUAGAAAUAUGAAGUAUACAGCCUGACACCUGCCCGGUGCUGGAAGGUUAAGAGGAGAACUCAUCGCAAGAGAAGGUUUGAAUUGAAGCCCCAGUAAACGGCGGCCGUAACUAUAACGGUCCUAAGGUAGCGAAAUUCCUUGUCGGGUAAGUUCCGACCUGCACGAAUGGUGUAAUGAUCUGGACACUGUCUCAACCGUGAGCUCGGUGAAAUUGUAGUAUCGGUGAAGAUGCCGAUUACCCGCGAUGGGACGAAAAGACCCCGUGAACCUUUACUAUAGCUUUACAUUGAAUUUGGGCAACUAAUGUGUAGGAUAGGCCGGAGACUAUGAAGCAGGCACGCCAGUGUUUGUGGAGUCGUCGUUGAAAUACGGCCCUUUGGUUGUUUGAGUUCUAACUCGCAGAAGCGAGGACACUGUAUGGUGGGUAGUUUGACUGGGGUGGUCGCCUCCAAAAGAGUAACGGAGGCUUCUAAAGGUACCCUCAGACCGAUUGGUAACCGGUCGUAGAGUGUAAUGGCAUAAGGGUGCUUGACUGGGAGGCCUACAAGCCGAUCAGGUAGGAAACUAGAGCAUAGUGAUCCGGUGGUUCCGCAUGGAAGGGCCA